CCUACGGGGGGCUGCAGUGAGGAAUAUUGGUCAAUGGACGAGAGUCUGAACCAGCCAAGUAGCGUGAAGGAUGACUGCCCUAUGGGUUGUAAACUUCUUUUAUAAAGGAAUAAAACGAGGCACGUGUGCCUUUUUGCAUGUACUUUAUGAAUAAGGAUCGGCUAACUCCGUGCCAGCAGCCGCGGUAAUACGGAGGAUCCGAGCGUUAUCCGGAUUUAUUGGGUUUAAAGGGAGCGUAGAUGGGUUGUUAAGUCAGUUGUGAAAGUUUGCGGCUCAACCGUAAAAUUGCAAUUGAUACUGGCAGUCUUGAGUACAGUUGAGGUAGGCGGAAUUCGUGGUGUAGCGGUGAAAUGCAUAGAUAUCACGCAGAACCCCGAUUGCGAAGGCAGCUUACCAAACUGUGACUGACAUUGAUGCUCGAAAGUGUGGGUAUCAAACAGGAUUAGAUACCCGAGUAGUC
rnacentral:rRNA from 1 species